rnacentral:rRNA from 1 species
UACGUAGGGACCGAGCGUUGUCCGGAUUCAUUGGGCGUAAAGAGCUCGUAGGCGGUGUGUCGCGUCGGCCGUGAAAACCUGGGGCUUAACUCUGGGCGUGCGGUCGAUACGGGCAUCACUGGAGUUCGGCAGGGGAGACUGGAAUUCCUGGUGUAGCGGUGAAAUGCGCAGAUAUCAGGAGGAACACCGGUGGCGAAGGCGGGUCUCUGGGCCACUACUGACGCUGAGGAGCGAAAGCGUGGGGAGCAAACAGG